AUUCAAUCUCCUUGUGCCUUGAUUUCCUUAUCAAUAAGUGAUUUGUUUUUAAAGAAGGAUUCACAAGCAAACAUAUCUGGUUUUUUUGUUUGUUUGUUUUUGAGACAGAGUCUCGCUCUGUUGUCCAGGCUGGAGUGCAGUGAUGCGAUCUUGACUCACUGCAACCUCCGCCUCCCAGGAGUUCAAGCGAUCCUCCUGCCUCAGUCUUCCGAGUAGCUGGGACUACAGGCAUGUGCCACCACACCCAGCUACUAUUUUUGUAUUUUUUUGUAGAGAUGGUUUCGCCAUGUUGGCCAGGCUGGUCUUGAACCCUUGACCUCAGGUGAUCCACCAGCCUCGGCCUCACAAAGUGCUGGGAUUACAGGUAUGAGCCACCACGCCCAGCCUGCAAACAUAUGUUGAACUCUUUGCACAGUGCCCUGCAUGAGAUAGAUGACAGCUCCUUCUUCCAUGUUGUUAAUUUGGUGUGAGUAUAUGUUAUAUGUAUGUAUAUGCAAGAUAAUAAUCUUCUUGUAACCACUGACAGGCCUUUUUGUGAAUGAUGAUGGAAAAAGCAAGAACCUUGUCCAGGUUCCUCUCCAGGGAGCAGGGGUGGGUUGUGAUUCUUGAUUUCAUUCCUUUAGAUAUGAAGAGUUUUCACACAGAGGCAGCACGAAUUUGUCUCUCUCCUAGAGGGUGGGGAGAGUUGCUGGGUGGAUAUAACUGCAUCACAGCCUUUCUGGGUAAACUGGCCACUCCCUACUGAUUUGUUAUCAUGCUAAAUGUGUCUCCUCCCUUCCUUUCUGGAGCUUUUGCAGCUGUUCCUGGAAGGAGACCCAGUUGAAAGGGGUUGUUAUGGACCAGGAACAGCUGGGAUCUUUAAUGAUCUGUGAGCAGCUUACAGCAAAGUUCCAACACCCUGAGUAUCAGUCCCCAAAUCCUUGGUCUUUGCAUUCCAACACAAAGUAAAAAGGAUUGAGCAGGGUUUUGGUUUUGGUUGCAAGUAACAGAAACCCAACGCUAAUUAAUAAACGGGAAAGUGUGUCAGUGGAAAUGUUUCCUUUAGAGGGUGGCAGAGAAAGCCACUAGUUGCUUCAAGUCUUUAUUUUACCAGCUCCACAAGUCCGACGGAAAGAGAAAACUGCUUUCCCAAAGGGUGUAAGAGGAUGAAAGGCAUGUCAUCAGCUGAAUUGCAUCAGGUGUCCAUCUUGGAAUCAAUCACGGUGCCUCUUAUUAGCAAAGCCUGAGUCAUAGAGCUUUCUCCAGCUGGUAGAAAAAGGGGAAGUAUGAGACUUAAAGGUGGAGGUGGCCCCAUGGAAAAGACCUAAGGGUAGCCUGCGGGAACUGAGAGAAAACCCCAACUGGCAGCCAGCAAGAAAACAGGGACCUUAAUCUUACGACCACAAGGAACUGGACUCUGCUACCAGAAUGAGCUGCAAGGGAGAUUCUUCCUCAGAAGCUUCAGAUAAGAACUCCACCUGGCUGACCUUUGAUUUUGGUUUUGUGAGAACUUUGGCAGAUAACCCAGGCAUGUGUCAUUUCACAUCUGCAUAAAAAGACAUGCUGAAGGAUGUUCCUUGCAGAAUGGUUAUAGAGAAAAAUGGGAAUAACCACGAUAUAAAGUAACAGUCUGCUAUUUUAGGAAGUGGAUAAAAUGGCAUUUUGACAGAUCUGGAGGGUCUUGGAUCUACCUUUCAACAUUGGCAUUACUGAUAUUAGAGUACCACCACUCACUAGCUGUGGAGAUGUAGGAAGAUUACUUAACCACUCAGAGCCUUGGUUUCCUCAUUUGUUAUGUGAAGAUGACAAUAUCAGAUGACAGUGAGAUCUGAGAUGAAUUUAACUGCCUUCAGUAGUGCUGGCCUGCUCCUGAGAGAGAGAUGAUUGAGAGGGAGGAAGUAGAGAGGAGGAAGAAGCCUUUACUCACACUCCUUGAGGAGUGAUUCAGGUGGACAGCCUGAAUUACGGGAUUUAUUGGCAGCAAGUAAGUAUUGUCUGAGUGGAUUACUGCAAAAUGCUUUAGCUGGGGAUGGCUUUGAAAACCACUCAUCAAUUACAGAUGGUACCCAGUAUAGCAGCAGGAGUACCCUUGCGGGCUUUUGUUAUCUCCGACCUCUUCCUUCAUGGGUGACCGUUCUAACCCAAAGACCUCAACUGUUCAUCAAAAACCUGCCACUCAGAACUGCAUAUCAAUUAUUAAACAAUGUCCCAUGCAGGACAGUGACUUUAAAUUAUCUUGGAAAUGAUAAAGACCAACAUUUGUCUUUGUUAACAUGCUGAGUGAUUCUGUGGUCUCUAGUCACAGGUGAAAGGAUCAGAUUUGAGAUUUCUAGACACCAGAAUCACAUUAGGGUUAAGCAAAACUCCAUCUUUUCCCAGAGAAAAUUUAGCCAGAAAUGUUGCUUAUUUGAGAUGAGAAGUAAGAUGAAGUGUUCUAACAUGGCGGAGCUUGAUAUGCAAAUGAGCCCAUCUAGGGACAGUAGGGAUUGGUAAUGUGGGUCUGUGGAUGCCUGGAAGGCUCACAGAAAGACUUCAGGAAUUCCUGAGUCUCUUCAAAGUGUAAGCAAAAUUUUGUGUGUAUUUUCUUAUUUGCAUGAUAUGGCUUGGCUGUGUCCCCACCCAAACCUUAUCUCGAAUUGUAACUCCCACAAUUCCCACAUGUCGUGGAAGGAUCCUGGUGGGAUUCAUUAUGGGGGCAGGUCUUUCCAGUGCUGUUCUCAUGAUAGUGAAUGAGUCUCACAAUAUCUGAUGGUUUUAAAAACAGGAGUUUCUUUGCACAAGCUCUCUUUCUACCGCUGCCUCCAUGUAAGAUGUGACUUGCUCCUCCUUGCCUUCCACCAUGAUUGUGAGGCCUCCCCAUCCACGUGGAACUGCGAGGCCAAUUGAACUCCUUUCUUUUGUAAAUUGUCCAGUCUCAGGUAUGUCUUUAUCAGCAGUGUGAAAAUGGGCUAAUACAGUGCAUUUAUUUUUUUGAAGCAUGUCCAUACUUUCCAUUGGAUUCUCAAAGGGAUUCAGGACCUGGAAACUUUUUGAAAUACUGCUCCAUAGUAAAUGGCACAAAUCUCUCUGAAUCAAGGAUGUCUCUAGCCUUAGGCAAAGCUAGGUUGAAGGACAGAACAGAGAGUCAGCCUCUGGAGUGCCCUCUAUAAGGAAAAAGAAAACAUUACUAGAGUAAGUUGAUAAAGUAUAAAUUCAUCUCACUCCUACUGGACACUGCCCUUGAGUGAAAUUAAAAACUGAAAAAUUUUUGACAUAUCUUUUGAGCAUUUUUGUAAAAUACGCAUGUAGCUAUGGCCAAAAUUCUGGAAUAAAAUGGUACAUAUAGCCUUAGGUAUCCUGGCUCUGUUUCUUAAAGGAGUCAUAUUUACAGAAUUGCAGUUGUCCAGGUGCAGUGGCUCACGCCUGUAAUCCAAACAAUUUGGGAGGCCCAAGCAGGUGGAUCACUUGAAGUCAGGAGUUUGAGACCAGCCUGGUCAACAUGGUGAAACCCCAUCUCUAGUAAAAAUACAAAAAAAAAAUUAGCCGGGCAUGGUGGCGGGCACCAGUAAUCCCAGCUACUGGGGAGGCUGAGGCAGGACAAUUGCUUGAACCUGGGAGGCAGAGGUUGGGAGGUUGCAGUGACCCUAGAUAGCACCAUUGCACUCCAGCCUGGAUGACAGAGCGAGAUUCCAUCUCAAAAAAAAAGAAAGAAAGAAAGAAAGAAUUACAGUUGAUUAGCCACAAAUAAUUUCUAAAAUGUUUUUGCUCACAUCUCUCAUAAAAAUAAAAGAAUAUCCAUGUCCUGUCUUAUUUCUUAUAGCUGCCAGUACACCCCCCAGUUUCCUCUUAUAACUGUUUCAUCCAGAAUCCUUCACAUGGUUACCCUUCACUUUCUCUAUUCCAGUCCAGGUUGCUUAUUUUCUUUUCUCUGGCCUUCUCCCUGUUGCUUUGCUCUUCAUCGUGUAGAUUGAUUUAGUUGUUUUGGCUCAGUCCUUCCUUCUGUCUUCUGUUUCU
rnacentral:lncRNA from 10 species